GAUACCGAAAAUUUCCUCCACAAAAAAAUAAUACAAGACCUCUGAUCGAACAUGGGUAGAAUGCGGGAGACAGAUUCUGGGUUCAUUCAACAACUCGCUAGAAAUGCUCCACUAUUGCCAGAUCUGGUGUUCUUUGGGUUUUCUUCCUAUUUUUUUGUUGAGUUGUUUUGAUUAAUCAAGAAAUGAAAAUUGUUUUCGACGAUGAUAUUAAUCCUCUGGUGUCUGUUUUGUAAAUAUUAAUGAUGGCUUAGGAAUUUGAUUAACUAAGGUACCGAUUCAAUUUGUUCUUUAUAUCAUCAGUGACUCUUAAAGACGAUGAUGGCCCACUUGCUGUAAGACGAUGGAGAGCAAGAGGAAUUUGGUGGUAGCUUAGGAUUUAAUAUGGACGGAUUUUUGGGUGAGUUAGGAUUCAACAGCUGAAUUAAACAUAAGAGAGUUGUUCUAAAGGAACUAAUUUGGGAUUGCUUGAUUAUAAUUUGGGACCGAAUUUCGAAUGUACUCAGCUGUAUAUAGAUUUUCGAUUAAUUGGUAGUGGUGAUGACGAUCAACGAAGACCUUAGGUUUGAUUGUGAAGAACAGACAUGGUGCAGAACCGUCCGAUAUUUUCGUCCAAAGGCAUACUCGUGUCAGAAUAUUUCCUCCCAUAUAAAAUCAGUACUUGCGAUAUUUUUUUAUUUUUUUUUUGCCUGUUCUUAUGAAGAACAACGUCGCCGGAGAUAAGAAGAAGAUGACGGAGAUGAAGAAGAAGAAAGUAUGUUCACUUUUUUAUUUGUUUAGGUAUUUUGUAAUUUUCUUUUUUUAUUGUGCCACCCGUAUUUCUUUUUGCCACGCGGAUAUUUUUGCUGAGUCGGUGUAUUUUUUUGGCCACGUGUAUAUUCUUGAUGAGUCAGCUAACUUGGAAUAGACGGAAUUUAUAACGAGGGGAGGUUUCACUAAGUGUAUCUCUAUAGGGGAGGUAACUCAAAUUAUGAUCUUCGUCAGGGGAGGUAACGCAAAUUACCUCUUGUUUAAAUCAGUGAAAUCUAUGCAAAUCCUGAUUCCUUUGUUUUUC